rnacentral:rRNA from 1 species
UAGGGAAUAUCGGGCAAUGGAGGGAACUCUGACCCAGCCAUGCCGCGUGCAGGAUGAAGGCGUUAUGCGUUGUAAACUGCUUUUAUAUAGGAAGAAAUAGUCCUUGCGAGGAAAGUUGACGGUACUAUAUGAAUAAGCACCGGCUAACUCCGUGCCAGCAGCCGCGGUAAUACGGAGGGUGCAAGCGUUGUCCGGAUUUAUUGGGUUUAAAGGGUGCGUAGGCGGUUUAUUAAGUCAGUGGUGAAAGACGGUCGCUCAACGAUUGCAGUGCCAUUGAUACUGGUAGACUUGAGUAUGAUUGAGGUAGCUGGAAUGGAUAGUGUAGCGGUGAAAUGCAUAGAUAUUAUCCAGAACACCAAUUGCGUAGGCAAGUUACUAAGUCAUAACUGACGCUGAGGCACGAAAGUGUGGGUAUCAAACAGGAUUAGAUACCCACGUAGUCCCUGAGCGGGCUGGCAAGGCGCAU